AUAUUCUUUCGGGGCUGGGUGGAAAUCCCAACCGGCAGUAAAUUUAAGCCUGCGACCUGUAGUGAACAGUUUCUGUUGACUAUGGCUGAUCUAGUGAGAAUCUAGAGCCGACAGUGAAAGUCUGGAUGGGAGGAAGAAUCA
rnacentral:ncRNA from 1 species